AUGGCUGCACGUGAGCUGCUCCAGGGCGCCGUCGCGCCGCCGCUGGAGCGCGCGUUCGCGGCGAACGCGCCUUCCGAGGUCGUCAAGUCGACCUACGCUGCGAUUCUGCAGGCCGCGAACUACGCGUCGUUCUCCUUCCGCCACGCGCUGGAGCUGGAGGAGAAGCUUGCUGGCAGGGAGCGCAAGGCCGCGGCGCUGCGGGAGCAGCUGGAGGAGGCAAAGCCGAGCUCGCAGCGGCGAAGCAGGCGGCAGAGGAGGAGCAGGCAAAGGCGAGGGACGAGCUGGAGAAGGCCAAAGGCGACGCUGCCGUGGCGAAGCGGGCUGGGGAGGCGCAGGCCGAGCUCGCCGCGGCGACGGCGGAGGCGGUGA
rnacentral:rRNA from 1 species